AAACCCUAAAGACUUGUUAAGUGUUCCUCCACCCUUAGCGUUGUUUUUGCAAAAGUUAGUGUCCUUCCCGAUGCUGAAUCAAACUUCUGCUCAAAAUGUCUUGUGUCGGCUGUCUGUAAAGCACUGGAGCUUUGGCGGAGCAGAGACUGUGAGACAACAUUACUUAAGGAGAAGGGUUUCAGUUCAGAUGCCCGGAGUCUGCUUCUACUUUCGUUUUACCCUGCCUAACCUUUCUGAGCCUCAGUUUACUUCUCUAAAUGGGACAGUCAUGCCUGCCUGACAGCGUGCUGCUCAAUAAAUGAGCUAUGUAGCCACCUGAAUUAAGUACCUGAAAAUACUUUUGAUGCUGUUGAACUUGGCCACAAUAAAAACAAACUCAGCAUGUCCAUGUUCAAUUUUAUACGCCACAUGUGUGCACAACAUCACCAGUUCUCAAAAGCCAAGCCUGCAAAUCUGAGGCCAGCAAUGCCAGUUAAUCUUCAUAUAGGACUUCCCAUGUGCCAGUCACUGUGUGAAGCUCUUCAACCGUAUCAGCUCAUGUAACCCAACAAUUUUAUGAGUCCAAAGCACCAUUGAUUCAGAUCCCAGGUGACAAAGUGGAGCACAGAACUGAAGGAAGAGGCUGUUUUCCCAGCUUGCUCAUGAAAUCUUACUCUGCUCUGACAACCCAAAAGCUGGCUGACUUGGCAGCAUUGAGAGAGACGGUAGACUUGGCACCAUCAGCGCUGCUUUCAUGCUGGGCAGUGACAGCACUAAUGCUUUCCAAGUGGCCCUGCAGGAAGCAAACCUGGAGGAACCGGAGCAGUAGAGAAAGGACCAGGUGGACCUGUGUGGUUAAGGCAGCUGGUUUGAGAAGCUGGUGCCCUUCAUCAGGGAGCUAAACACGUGUCUGGUCCAGGAGUCAGAAGGGUUGGAGAAGCUCCGGACCCAACUGGUCUUCCAUCCCAACACGAUCCAGUCUGUCCGUGAGACAAGGUGAGUGAGCUGCAACAGCACCUGGGCUGCACCAGCCUUCCAGGAGCAAAACCAGUCAGGCUGCUGCUCCACUGCUUCAUUUUCACCUUCCCAACUCACAUACGAAAUCUCUUGAAGCCCACACUAACCUGGAGCUAUGCAGAUGAAGGGAUCCUAGGUGCUCUGGUUUCAGUUAAGCUUCAUUUAUACACAAAUCCAUCCAGUAUAGGCCUCCAAACCCAGUUUAAGGACCACUGACUUCACCAAUGGCAAAGGGCCAGAGAACUUUUCUGAAAGUUGUGCUUGGGAGUUUAGGAUUAAAUUUCUAGCCUUGUUGCAUAUCACAAAAGUGAAUGUGUUAAACCUAAAACUCUAUCAGCAAGGAAGGCUAUUGGUCCUUUACUCCAAGGCAGUGGAAUAUGUGGAGGGGUACAGGAAGCUUUCAGUCUUACAGAACUGGGUUUAUGGGGCUGUUGGCUAUUAAUCUUCCUGAAUUUCAGUUUCUUCAUCCAUAAAAGGGGCUGAACGUCCCUACUUUGCAGGAUUCUCCAAGCAUUACAAUAGUGUACAGGAAGCCCAAGUGAACAGUGCCUGCAUACAGUAAAUGCUUGAUAAAUGGCAGCUGUUAUUUCAAGCAUGUCUUAUAGCAUCCAGAUUAAUAAAAGCACAUUGAGAUCUUAGAUCUGUUGAAUAUUUGGAGGAUCACGCAAGCCAAAGACUGCCUAAGCCAGGGUUAGAACUCAGAGAACCAUCAGUUUAUGCCCUGUGAAAGCAGAGUUCUCCAUGUCCUUGGGUUUCAAGAGUGGGAGGGAAGAUCAGACAGUCCCAGUUGGUUAGUUCUAUUGAUGAAUGCCAUCAUUAGCUGCAGGCAAAGGCAGCAGUCAAUAGGAAACCGUGCUCCACAUUGGCCAUGAAAUUCAGUAUUUCCUGAAGGCAGGGGCAUCCUUCAUGCCUCAGAGAGUUGGAAUUGACUUGAGAAUCAUGGAGGCAAAUAAAGUUGUGCAGGGUGGAAAAAGGUCAUGCCUGUCCUAUCAUAAUUUGGUUCUCUCCACCUCCAGCUCUCUUACACCAAUAUAUAACUUAAGGGCCACAAACAUACUUCCUGGCCAGAAUGCACUUGGUCCCAAAUCAGUCAAGAAUCUGGUUCAAGAAACAGAAACCCAAGUCAAACCAGCUAUAAACAAACAAACAAAUAAGUAAACAAGGAUGCAAGGAAGAGGACGGAUGGAAGGAAGGAGUAAGAUUAUUAUUUAUCAGUUUAUUUUUAUUUGGCUUAUGCAAUAGGACAUGCAGGAGGAGAGGACCUCAGGGAAUUACAGGGAUUUAGCUGUACAGUCAGAUCUCUCUGUCUGUUUCUCCUUCUGUCUCUGUCUCUCUCAUAUCACUUUACUUCUCUGCUCUGUUUAUAUUCUCUCCUACUACAGAUGGGCUUCUGCUACCUUGCUAUGGAGAAGUAGAGCAUGGUUCCAACAACUACUGUUGCAAAGGAAAACUCUUUGUUGAAAGAAAGAAAAGAAAAUGGAGAAAAGGAGAGAGGAGCUGGGUGAACAAGGCUGUCAUUAAACCUCUUUUGGAAAGUAUCAUCUUUUGGAAAGUAUCAUCUUUUGGAAAGUAUCAUCUCUUUGUGACUUCAGAUAUCAACCAAGUACUUAAUCAUGUGGAGAGGCUCUUUGUUUUGACUUUGGAGAAAGCAUUUUGGAGGAGAAUGAUUUGAACGAGGCUUUGAAAACCAGAAUUGUUCAGCUGCCUAGAAAAGGAACAAGAAAGAGAUGGUUGGCUUAAACAGGGCUGGAGAUUGGGCAGGACAGUUGUGACAGAAGAUGAGUGAGGCCAGUCAUUAGCAUGCAAAUCUGAGCACGGUGUGAAGAACGGUCCUAAGAGGCUGAGGAGAUUGGCAAAUGGAGAAAGAGCAGAGGGAGUUGGCCUGAAAAUGGGAAGAGAAGAUCGGAAAAAGUGAGGUAAUAGGAGAGAGAGACAGAUACGUAGUGGUCGGAAGAAAUUUUUCAAGUCUGCAAGUCUCAGAUGCUGAGACGUUAUGGAUGAUGGUGAAAACUAAGGUGCGGCUCCAUUAAGGAAGAUUUGAUGGAGAAUGAGAUGGAGUCACAGAGCUCAAGGUAAAGGAACUGUUAGGUCAGAGGGUUAGAGAGAAUAUCGACACGAAAUUUGAAUACCAGCGGAGAAUACACUGGUUAUGGGUGAAAUUUUUUGAAUGACUAUAAACAUAUUAAUGUAGUAUUAAAACACAUGAGCAGUUAGAAAAAUACGUGGAAGGAGCAACCGUGUUCAUUCAACAUACUGAGCCAUGUAUUUGACACGAAACUAUGUUCAAUAAGCAUGAUAUGGUGGAUUCCUCUCAAGCAGUGGAUUCAUUAAUAUUAAGACUUUCCUUCCCACCGUUCAAGAGCACAACUUAACACCUGAUGACCUCGUAUUAAAAACAGAAAAUACAAACUGGUUACUUGGAAGAAAAAGCGUGGUAGAAAAGCUAAACCUUGUGACAUCAGCAUGUACUUAAAUAAAUGAUUGAGCCAAGUAAAUAAUAGUGAUCCCCAAGAAAUUGCUCAUAUUCAUUGUGAAACUACUAAUCGCUCCCCAAUGUUUUGCCAUAGAGUAUGAACCUUCACACUCAGAGACUCCUCCUGCAGUUGCCGAACCAGAUCUGCAGCCUGUCUCACUGAGUCUCCCUCUGGAUUGUCAUAGUACUAGCUUGAUGGUGGUUCAUUUGUAGCCAUCAAAUGCAGAAACCACAGUAAACUGGGCUCACUGGUCCUUUGUAGCGCAGAUGGGGACACAGUCACAAUUUUCUAACGUUCUAAAAAUAAAUAAGUUUUUUUUUUUAGAGACAAGUACUCUAUUAUAUACACUCAUCAGGAGAUUGUGCAGUUUGGGAUGUUGUAAUCAUUCAAAAUCAAAGAGGAAUUGUUAGCCAGAUGUUGAAAAAUAUAUGUAAAUGUGCUCUGGAAGUACGCUUUAUCUCUAAAUCUUCCCAAAGAAUGUUGACCUAGUCCUAAAGCAUUUAUUUACACAUUCUUUUCAAACAAUCUUUAAACUCAGAAGCCCUAUUUUUGCAUCACAUAUAGACAAACAUUGAUAAUAGUUGAAGCUGUGUGACAGAUACCUAUUCUUUCUACUUUAAAUGUUCGAAAAUUUCUGUAAUAAAAAUUUUUUAAAGGUUAAAAAAAAGGGAGAGACAGAGAGAGAGGGAGAUGAGUCCUUUUAUUGUGCUUGAAUAGCAAAGAGUCCCCUUUCUUACUUUUCCCUUUCCUGCUGACAUACAUUGUAACCUAUGAGAAAUUGCUUACUCCAGUUUCCCCAAAACAAAUUAGAAUGUGCUAAUAAUAAGAUUGGGUGGCAUAACAUCAUUAUUAUUUCAAAUAUUCCUUCACGCUUCAUAAAACUCUUCCACGUGCUGUCAUUUCGCUUCCUUCCACAGAACUCUGUACUCAUGGGCGUCCUCCCUAAUAGUUGGCCUCCCAAAAUCCAUCCUGAAAGAGAAUAGGCUUUAGUCAUUCAUAAACCAGUCUGGCAGGUGCCAUUAUUUUAACAUUAUUUUAAUUUUUCAUGGAUUAAUAUCUUUGUAAGGAAAAUAUAACAGCCAACAGAAACCUUCAUUUGCUCCAUAAACAUUUAUUAAGCACCCACUAUCUGCAAGGUAGAUGUUCCAGUCCUGGUUACACAUCCUGCUAGGAGCUUCAGUUUAGAAGCAAUGAUGAGUGAGGUUUAGUGAGAUGACCCUUGCAGUGAGGAAGAGCUUUUUUUAAAAAAAUGCCUAUCCCCAGGCUCCGCACACAGAGAAGUUUUAAGUCUAGGUGGUUCCAGGAAGGGUUGAAAAUCCUUGAUUUAAAUCACCAAGUCUGAGGGGCGACCAGAGAAGACUUAAGCUUUAUCCUGGUGCUGGAAAGGACAAGAAAACAGGGUGCAAGCCUAGAGAAAGAAUUUGGCAGGAUAUGGGUUCAGAACUGACUGGGCUUAGGUUCAAGGCUGGGCUUUGGUCCUGGUGGAAUUCUCAGCAGGAACCCAGAACAGAUUGAUAGUAUAUUGGGUCCAUUGUGUGUACCAGGCACUGUGCAAAGCUCUUCACUUAGAUAAUCUCAUUUUAUCUUCCUGACAACCCUGUGAGACAGGCUGAUUUGGCCCGAUGGCCAGUAAGUGAAUGAGUUGUAUCUGAACCUAAGACUGUUCUGAAUGCAAAGCCUACGUUCUUUCUCUCUCCAUGGUGUCUGUAGGGACUGGGCACAAAGGCUUUUCAGGCUUACCUAGGGGUGAUAGCUAGGAAAAUCAUUGGACUGUAAUGGGCUCUGCUCACAGGAGACAUGAGGCAGCUAUUUCCAUACUCCACUCACUAGUGUGUAAAAUUAACUCCCAGUGACUCCUGACUGACAGGGUUCUCAUUAUUCCCAGAUUAUGUCCUAGGCAACAUAGGGAAAUUGGCAAAUUUUUCUCUGUUCCCCUGGCUUCCACAGUUGUACCUGUUUCUUCCUCAUGGCCUUCACCUCCAUUCACACCAAGUAACACAUGUCUGAUGACAGAUGAAAGCCUUGUACUUUUGAGACCUCGUGUUUUUUGCUUUGUUUUGUUUUUAAAUUUAUUUACUUUUUUGUCUUUUUGCCAUUUCUUUGGCUACACCCGCAGCGUAUGGAGGUUCCCAGGCUA